CUACACAGCAAAAAAUAAUGUAAUAUGCAUCGAUGUAAUUGAUGCCGAUGUACCGAUUCACCGAUGUAAGCGUGAUUUUCAGAUACAAAAUCACUUCGGUGCGAUGCUAUAUUACAUCGGUCUUGAAAUUACACAGAAUCAGAACCAUAAAUUUUCUUUACACCAAACCUGUGUAAUAUUUAUAUCAAGAGAUUGUCAAUAUUACACAAAAACAGCUGCAACCAAUUGGUUAUGCUGACCGUGUUUAAAAUUACACAGAAACGAUGCCUUAUCACACUCGCUCUGGUGCAAUAUUAAAUCUAGCAACACUUCCAGCGUUUGUUUUGUUAUGUCGAUCAAAAUGGCUGUCCGCCGGUCGCGGUUUCGUCGAAGUUGUGCGGUUUUUGAUUCGUCUGCUGCCACUCGAGUUUUUCGAAAAGUUUGGCCUGGAAUCACCUCAUCAGUCGCUGCACACCUAUCAGAAGUUAAGAGUGCAGCUAGCAUGAAAAGCCGGAAGACCUAACUCCCGAGAGAGAUACCGCUAGGUCCUGCACCUGCACCCCCUUGAAAGACCACCAAGUUCGAAGCCAUAGGAUCGAAAUCGGAUAAGCAACUUGAAGGAUCCCCAUGACGCGUUUGACCUGCGAAAUGCCUGAGGCGAAAAUCCGAGCUGGGCAACUGGAGGUCUCGGGAUCUGCUGCAACUGAGAACCUAGAACAGGAGCAUCUAUUCUUACCGGAUCAUACACCUUUAGCUGUAAUGAUGGAACCAAUGCGCGUCGCUCUCGGAAAUAACAUCACACAUCGUCACCUAUUCAUAUGGACGGGGGCGGUUGCUUUUCGAUGGCAAUAUCCUUUAGAGCAGACAUCGCAGCCGUUUCUCCGAGAAUGUAAUCCCCAUUCCCAUGGAUCUGUAAAAAAAAAACUUGGAGACCGAAUUUGAGAGAAGUUACACGGAUUAUCUGAGCCGAGGAAGUAAUUACGGAUUCAGUGGAGAACACCGAUAGCGAAACAGGUAUAAAUGGGGAAAAAGAAUGACGACGCCGCUGUCUUCAAGCGGUACUUUAUUCACCGCUGCCGUCAGAAUGUUCGCCCCAGCUACUUUGUGCCUGCAGAAGCAACUUGAAUUAUUAUAUAAUAAUCUUUCUUAUAAGUUAAUCAAAUUUUAUAAAAAAAUACUACAAUAUAAAUAAAAUUUCCCUCUAGAAUAUA